GAUAAUAACCAUUACCAACACUCACUCUCUCACACACUGCCUCAUCCCUUUGCCUUUUGCUUUUUCUAUUAUUUUUUUUCCGUUUUGAAAUUAUUUUUUGUAAGAAGCUGAUCAACUCUUUUGGAACAUCUUGUGAUAACCCAUGUGUUUGAAGUUGUUCCUUAGCAUAGAUCUCUAUACGUUAUCUAUUUCUUUUUCUUACAAAGCUCCACACUUGUUUGGAGCAGACUAUUCAUAUUUUAGUAAACGAGUUUCGUUGGUUUUGUUACAGAGUCGCCAAAAAUUGAUUGAAUGAGUUGCUCCACACCAACUAGUUGGGAUUUUUUGGGCUCCAUGAUCGUCUCCGCCUCCACGGCUGCCGGAAAAAGACCCUCCCGGGAGCCUCAAAAACGCGUUCAUCGCGUCUCUGGAGAUCAUAUCAUGCCUGCCCCAAACACAAUCAAGAAUUCAUAAACAAAGGGAGAGCAUAGAGAGGCAAUUACAGAUGUUAUAAAAUGAGUUUGGUAAUAGUAAUUUGAUAGGUAUAAGCGACUUCACCCUACUCAAACAACAAACCCAUUCAAGAUUUUACCUUUUCUUUAACUAUAAGUCAUACAAUCUUUCAUACAUCGCAAUCACAUUUAACUAUAACAAAGUUUGGUUCUACAAGAAAGAGGAAAAAGAAGAAGAAACUACAAUAAUGUUAACUCACUUUCACCUCUUCCUCUUAUCUCUUUUUUCAUGUCACCCAAUUUCUCACACAUCGCAAUUAUAUUUAACUCUUAACAAAGUUUGGUUCCACAAGAAACAGAAAAGGAAAGAAACUUCUUUUCAGCCCUUCCUCUAUUUCUACUACUUAUUCCACAAACCAAAAAUAUCCAACCUUUGUCUACCUAAUUCAGCUCAAAAAUCACAUCAAAAUUUAAUACCAAUUCGCAAUUAAACGGCGCCGUAGCGCUAAUCGCUCUGCUUCACUUGCGCGGGCAACCACCUCGCCCCAUCCAGACUCUCACUCCUCAAUUAAACGGCGACGUAUCACUCUGCUUCUCUGUUACUAAUUUUUUGAUUCGAUCUCACCGAAGCUACUCUUCCGGUGAAGGAAGAAAUUUUCAGCUUCAAUUAGGUGAAGAUUCAGCUUCUUCAAAUCGACAUUUGAUCGAUUUUUUUUAAUUUUGUAGUGUUGCGUAGAGAAUUUGGGUGAAUCGUUGUAGGGGGGCGAGGGAGGAAGAGGAUUGCUGGAUUGGAUAUGUUUUUGGGUUUUUAAUAAUUCGG
rnacentral:lncRNA from 1 species